UCAGAGCCCUACGGACUGAAAAUCGGUCGGAAGAAAACCUAAAUUAAGUGCCAGCCUACUCCCAGUAUAUCCCAAACAAACAACCGAAGGUAUUCACACAGGAGAGGUUUUCAUCGUUUGCGAACACUCGUAAGAGAUUAAUCUGUGGAGAAGCCCAGGGGUAACAGGUGGCUGACCCAAGACGGAAGUGGCCAGCUUGGCUAGACCUCCCUGACUCCACAACCUACAAGCCCAGCAAGUCCCAGAGGGCCUGAGUGCCCCAGGGCAGAAGUCUGUGCUUCCCGGAACUCUUCUGGGAAAAAUGCAGGCAAAGAGCCAACAUCACUCAUUUCCUUCAAAAGAGAGGCCCGUGCUUCUCUAUCCACUAUGCCGCGAUGCUGCUGGGCAUCCUCGUCCCUUCGUUUUAGCCAUGGGAGUGUCGCUCGGUGGUCCAAAGGGGUCCUCAGCAAGAAAAUCAGGGGAGACGCAGCCCUGCAUCAACUGCUCGCCGUAGCAGCUUGACCGCUAAAUCCCAUCCUGCC